UCACUGUGUCCCCAGGACCAGGCGGGCACCGGGCAGGGCCUCGAGGGCUCCUGCAGACAGCGGGCUGCUGGGGACAGACGGCUCCCGGCCCAUUGGACCUGCCCCGUGUGGACGGUGGACUGGACUGCUCCUCUGUCCCCCAGCACAGGGCCACCUGCUGUGGUGGCCCCAGAGCCCCCGGAGUCCCUGCUGCUCUUUGUCCUGUGUGUGUGUCCAGCCCCCUGGUGGCCCCUGCCUCAGCUUCCAGACACCCCCAGCCUCACCAGGCUCUGGCCAUGGUGGCACACCUGGACGGUGCAGCGGUCCAGCCCCCGGGCUCCUGGCGGCCACGUGGCCCCUUAAGUCCCUUGGUCACCAUCAGACAGGGGGAUCAUGUCAGAGCCCCAGGCCUGCGGCAGGGAGGCUCCACCCGAGGGUCCCCGCGGCUCCCACCCCAGAAAAAGCCAGAGUGUGAAGUGACAAGCCCCCUGUAGCCCGCCCCCUCCCCGUCUGUCCUCAUCUCCCACCUGUGGCCCUGUCACUCACCCAGCACCAGCCCCUUGGUGGUCCCUCACAGUCGCCAGCCCCCCACACUGGGUCACGGGUACAGCCUCCCGUCCCCUCCCUGACCAUGGGACCCAGGGGUGGGCAGUGGCCUGUCUGGUUCUGUGACCUGGGGCAGGGGUCCCACAGGGCCGGGAGAGGCCCCCACCUGCUGCAGGUGGCCCUGGUGGGUCACAGAGACCAGGCCCCCUGAGCAGCCGCCCCAUCAUGGAACCCGCUGCCCCCCAACCCCCGGCUUCCAGGAGCGCGAGGCGGACGUGAGGGAGCGUGCAGGGGGCGAGGGGCUCUCGGGACCCCGGAGUUAGCUCCUCUGUGCUCUGGAACAGCCUCGGGGCCUGGAGGGAGCAGGAGGCGUGUGGAGGGGCCGAGGCUGGACCGGCAGGGCUGAGGCUGGACUGGCUGACCUUCGGCUGCAGGGGCGUGUCCAGGGGCAGCCAGCAGAGCCCAGCAGAUGUGUGGCCAGGACAGCCCAGUGCCACCAGCCUGCUGCCCACCAUGAGCCAAACAGAGCUGGUGAUUUGUGCCCCGGGGCCCUGGGGUCCAGGGGUCAUCGCCAUGCGGCGUGCAAGUGCUCAGUCAAUGUCUCCGCUGUGCGCCAAGCAUGUGGGCCUGGUGGCUCCCGGGCCGGGGCCAGCCGGACACCGGCCAGGGGGCAUCCUGUCACCCUGUGGGAGUGGCGCUCACGGCCGGGUUCACUGGGCCGAGCUGGCCCGGGCAGAUCCGGGGGCAGGGCUUCCUGGGCCUGCGGCUCCGGCCCUGGCCCCCAGCCAGCCCUUCCACGGCUGCGGCAGGACUCCUGGCAGGACAGAGCUGGGUCCCAGUCUGUCCACGGCCCCUUGCCUCCGACAGCAUGGCCUAUCUCGCCGACCCACAGGGCCACCCACGGUUCCUGCCGGCUCUCCCCUCAGCCGGUCCCCUCCUCCCCGGCACAGACAGUACCUGGAGCAGAGCCCGGGACACGGUUCUCACAGGACAGGCUGGCUGGGAGCAGGGACAGAGCCAUCUGGAGGGUCUCUGGGCCCUGAACUGCACCGGGGAGGGUCCUGUCUCUGAAAGGCUUCCCUGAGGCCCCUACUUAAGUCAGGGCUCAGCAAGAGGAAGGAAGGGCUGGUUAGAAAGUGAAAGGUGGCGGCUGCGUCCGUCCUGCAGAGGGCUUCUGGGAUCUCAGGCUCUUCCUCUAAAGGAAACCUGGUGUGGGGCGGCCACGGGAAGGAUGUGGGAACAGCAUCAGCCGGGCACUCGUGGUGCUGGUGGAGGCCUGGCCUCUGAGAUCUUCAGGAUGUCACUUGUCUCCUUGAUCUGAUCAACAGCAGGGACCCCAGAGAACUCCCUGGCCAGUUUCCACCCCGUGAGGACAUCUGGGGAGCAGCAGCCCUCACCAGAGUGGGACCUCUGGGGCCUCCACCUUGGGCCUCAGCCUCCAGAGCGGUGAGCACCACAUUUCCUGCUCCUUGGCCACCAACGGGACCCAGCGGGACAGUGUGGCCUCAGAGCUGCAUUCAGCCCACGGCGGGAGCUCUCUGUGCAGUGACGGAGGGCAGGGCCACGGCCAGGCCUGUCCUGGCUGCCAGAGGGUCCCGGGUUGCUCUCACAGCAGGCCUGGCCCUGCAGACAGUAGAAGAACAUGAAAAACCAAAAGCCGGUUCCUGUUGACCUUGAGCUCCUGGAUCCAGCUGUACUUGAAGGAGGAAUGUCUGAGACUUUCAGAUACGAGAUACGGAGCUCCUGGCUCCCGCCCUGGGGUGGAGCCUGCGGUGCCCGGGCUUUCCCUGGGCCUCCCUCCCUCUCCAGCUCCGGCACUGCCCGGAACCCCAGCGUGGACCCCUCGCACAGGCCCCGAGGGAGUUCAGGACAGCCUCCCCCCGCCCUCCCCCCGCCCGCUGGGCUCCUGGGCGAUACAUCCUAAUGUAUAUUUAACAGUGGUUCAAAAUCGAAUUAAUUUAGCUGGUUAAUAAACUGUAACAUCCGUUUCUAAA